rnacentral:rRNA from 1 species
UCUACGGGCGGCAGCAGUGGGGAAUAUUGGACAAUGGGCGAAAGCCUGAUCCAGCCAUGCCGCGUGUGUGAAGAAGGCCUUCGGGUUGUAAAGCACUUUCAGUGGGGAAGAAAGCCUUGGGGCUAAUACCCUCGAGGAAGGACAUCACCCACAGAAGAAGCACCGGCUAACUCCGUGCCAGCAGCCGCGGUAAUACGGAGGGUGCGAGCGUUAAUCGGAAUUACUGGGCGUAAAGCGCGCGUAGGCGGUCUGAUAAGCCGGUUGUGAAAGCCCCGGGCUCAACCUGGGAACGGCAUCCGGAACGGUCAGGCUAGAGUGCAGGAGAGGAAGGUAGAAUUCCCGGUGUAGCGGUGAAAUGCGUAGAGAUCGGGAGGAAUACCAGUGGCGAAGGCGGCCUUCUGGACUGACACUGACGCUGAGGUGCGAAAGCGUGGGUAGCAAACAGGAUUAGAUACCCCGGUAGUC